ACACCUCAACUCUCGUGGCUUGCCAUGAUGAGCUUGGACUUUGGGGGUUUUGCUGGCCUACGGCCGGCUCCUCUCAAAUGAAUUAGCUUGCCAGUGUUUGGUGGCAUCACAGGUGUGAUAAAUAUCUACGCUUGUGGUUUUCCACCAGGUAACCUUCAGUGGAUGGAGGUUCGCUGGGGCUCAUAAACGUCUCUCCUCAGUGAGGACAGCUCUUUGAAC
rnacentral:misc_RNA from 1 species